rnacentral:lncRNA from 1 species
AGCCAUGAUUGUUUGGGGCAGAAGUCUGGCAGUUGAAGGUGAGUGUGGUAUGAGUCUAUGUGAGUAUAUAUCACUUGUUUGUGAGUACAUGCAGCAUGCAGAGGCCAGAAGAGGACAUUAGCUCUCAGCAACUGGAGUCAACAUGCAUGCUGGGAACAAAGCUGAGAUCCUCUAGAAGAACAGCAAGUGCUCAGAGCAGCUAAAGCCAUCUCUCCAGCCUGAUCUUUCAGCUUUGUACCAACCAACUGGCUGCAGUGCAAUCUCAGAAGUAUGUAUGGUACUGGGGACUGAACCUAGCACCGCACAAAUGCCAGGAACCAAAUUCUGAACAACAUAAAUCAUCGCCGUGCCUCACCCUACCCUGGGCUCUCAGGUGAUCAUCUUCCCGGUCUGCACACUCUUGGGCACAGACCCUGCUGAUCCUUCGGGCCGGUGCCCGCUCUCUUUCCCACCACAGAGGGGGAAAUCUCAGAAGGUGGUGUCCUUCGGUCAGAAGUAAAAAUGGCUGCAUCUCUCUGGGCAACCGAUGCCUGGGCCUGGUAUUCCUGAGUCCACAGCGGGGAUGCCAUUAGCCUUGCUCCCAAGAUCCAUGCAACCAGCAUCCCUGGCAUUUAGCCUACCGUCCCUGGCACUUAACCCCAUGGCCCCAUAAGAAGAGACAUUUCAAAUAGUUUUUCUUGGAGCCAUGGAAGGUUCAAAAGAAUUCUUUCAUGUUAAAAAAAAAUAAAUCCUCCAAAACU